UACGUAGGUAGCAAGCGUUGUCCGGAAUCAUUGGGCGUAAAGCGCGCGUAGGCGGCCUCGUAAGUCCGUUGUGAAAGUCAAAGGCUCAACCUUUGAAAGCCGAUGGAUACUGUGAGGCUAGAGUCCGGAAGAGGCGAGUGGAAUUCCUGGUGUAGCGGUGGAAUGCGCAGAUAUCAGGAGGAACACCAAUAGCGAAGGCAGCUCGCUGGGACGGUACUGACGCUAAGGCGCGAAAGCGUGGGGAGCGAACAGG
rnacentral:rRNA from 1 species